CUGCGUGUUACUACCCCACGAAUGCCAGGGUACACACACACAAAAUACAAAAUAAAAUCUUUGGAAAAUUUGCAUAAAUUAAAACAAAAGAUAAAGCAGAAGCUGUAAGUAAAAGUCCGGAGUAAAUAUCCCAAGGUGUAUUUUGUAAAUCAAAUGAAAAAUGAUUUAAAUGAUUCUGACAACUUUUAUCUUUCUUUAGUCUUGGAAAUUAUGAAACUUUAAUCUGCAGUGUGUUCUUCUUAUACCUUUACCCCCACCCCCACCCCCUUCCUCUUUACAUCCAUCAUACAUAAAUAUGUGCAUUUCGCUCUCUGCUAAUCUUGUAGGCUUAAAAUUUCCUUCUUGGGCGAAUUAGUUUGAGGAAUAUUGAGGAACAAAUUGUUUUCUUGGUCAAGAUGUUUUUGUGUGGUUUUUGGCUAAGAGACAACAAAUAGACACGACGACUACCGACUAUAUAUAUAUUUCAUGUAAUCCCAUAAUCGAUGCAAUUUAUAAACGAAAGAGCGUAGGAGGCGAGCAAAUGUUUAAAUAAAUUGCAUAAGAGAGGGCGAGAGAGAGAGAGAGAGAUACACAGAUUUUCCAUCUAAAUAUCUGUUGUAAUGUUGUAAUGCAAUCAAAAACUUUGUUAAGCGCAUUAGGCAAGAGAUGGGAUGGGGGGAAAAUACGAGGAAAACGCAUGCCACAAUGGUGAGGAAAAUACGAAGAAAAUGCAUGACAGAAAGUGAAGAAAAUCAGAGCCGGGGCAGGGGCAGAAAAUCAGAGCAGAAAGUGUGGAAAAGAGGUGGUCGUCGGUGCGGUGCCGGUGCCGCUGCUGACCAAUGGCAUUGGCCGCCUGCUCAUUGUCCAUGAAGCUUACACGAUUUUCGCUUUACAUCUCCAUUCCACCUGCUCUUACCACACACACACAUGAUUCAGCUCCCCUUCUCACCACCCACACUCUCACCCCUUCCCUUUCUGAUUUUCUUCAUGGAAAGCUGAGCAGCUUGAAAAUUGAAAGUGAACUCUUCUCCACAGAGGUGAGGUGGGGCAGGGGCGUUUGGCGAGUCUGGGGUCUUGGACCCUCAUCUUCAUCCAUAGCAAAAUUUGCACAACAAAUUACACUUUUCAUCUGCAUGGGCAAAUAUUUGGCAACUUUCUACAAAAUAAUUUGCACAUCAAAUAUACUGGGUUGGGGGGGGUUUGGGUUAUAUAAUUUACAGCUCUCAGACGAGAACCAGACGAAAUCCCAUUUCAAGAGCACAACACUUCAGGGAGCAAACGGUAAACGACUGUAUAAAUAAUUUACAUGGAUUCUGAAGCAGACACCUUCAGAAAAGUGCCCUCCGAAAUGCCUCAACAUUUGCUAGAACUUGCAAAAUAAGUCUGGAAAAUAAGUAGGAAUUCAACGAAUCCAAAACCAAAUCCCCACUUGACCGCAAACAUAAUUUUGCAGCAGCAAGCAGCAGCAGCAGCAGCAGUGCAGAAAGCAAGCAAAAGCCAUGUGUCAAACGUUUGCACUUUUUGCAUAAUUUAAUUUGUGAAAUAUUUUAAACAAUUACAGCGUACCGAGUGAGGAGGGACCGUAGCAAAUGGCGAAUGUAAUUGUGCAUGCGAAAAUUUCUGCGCCGAGCAAAAGUCAAUUUAGUGUGAAAUUUGAAAUGCUUUUAUAUAUACAUAUAUAUUUUUUUUGUUAUUUCUGAUGCAGAGUUCAGGCCAAGGACGGGUUACGCGACUGGGCCCUACAAAGUUGAAACAUGUGCUCCAUCAUGUGGAGGAGAGAGCAGAGGAGAGCGUGGAGGAGAGACAAGUACAAUUUAUGCAUAUGACACAUAAGGUUGUGGCUGUAAUUUAUCCAAGCGAAAAUGUUUUCUGCAAACUCAAACAGAAUAAAUACCGGAAAGAAAAAUA